UAUCUUCUCCCACGCGCGUCUCCCUCCCUUGUUUCCAUAGCUAUCGUACCCUUUGCUCCACCCAGCCAGUAGAGGUCUUGUCCCCAGCGCCGCCGGCCAUCUCGGGGGAGAUCUGGCGCCCGUCCCACAACGCCGCUCUCUUCCCCAGCGCCCCUCCCCUCUGUUCGCUUGUCGCCAUGGCCGCCGUAGCUCAGCUCGACCACUCGGCUUACCCUAGCCUCUUCCCCUACGAGCCCGACUCCUCCUCGCCCAUGGAGUUCGCCCAGCUCCCUCUACUCGCUCGGCACCCAUCCCUGUGGUGCUCAACGUCUCGCGUAGCUCGGUUUUUUUUGCCCUGACCGCCGCGCCGGAGCUCCCUGCUCGGCGUUCUCCUUCCCUGCGCACGGCUACCGUCAGCACUAUGCCAGUCAUCCUUGCCGUGGCUAGCCGAUUCGAAGCCAUGGAUGUCAGGUCCACUCCCCAUCGCUCGUGCUCAUCUGGGUCGCGUGCUCCCUGCCGGCCGAGCUCCCCAUGGCGCUCCUCUCUGCUCGGUUUCAAGCUUCUGCGCGCGCUGCCGUCCUUUGGCUCGCGGAGCUUCCUCUGCGCCCUGCUCCUGCUCCCUGACCUCGCCCUGCGCUCGGCUUCUUCUCCCUGGAUUCCCCAGUCGCGCCCCUCAACUCGCUCCCUCUCUGUUCGCGGCGCCCAGCUCAGAUCCCGCCUGCUCCACUGCGUCGCCGCCCUGCUCAAGUCCGUCCUGGUGGUCGUUGAUUGGGAGCAGACUCGGUCGUGCCCCUACACCUUCCAUCGCCGGUGAUGGCUGCCACGAGCGUCCUUUCCUUUACCCCAUCCUCGCCGUGGCCCUCUGCUCGAUUCUCUAGAGCUCAUCUGUGCUCCCCUUCCAUUGCUGCUGUCGCCAAGGACACCUUCCUUUGGCCUGGAGUCUUGCUGCACUGCUGGCAUCUCCAAAUCCCUUGCGAGCUUGCCGGACCUCGCCUCACCGUUGUCCAUGGAUAUCGUGCCGCGCCAUCAUCGCUUCCUGUCGCGAGCUCGAUCCCCGUUGUCAUCGCUUCACCGUGCUCUCUCGGCGUGGUCUCAUCCCGGCUCCCUGCUGGCUCGCCUCGUCGCCGAUUUCCAAGAACCAGCGCCAUCAGCUUGCCAGUCUCCUCCUAAUUUAAUUUGGAGUGGUCUCAUCCCGGCUCCCUGCUGGCUCGCCUCGUCGCCGAUUCCAAGAACCAGCGCCAUCAGCUUGCCAGUCUCCUCCUAAUUUAAUUUGGAAUUACUGCACCUCAACCUUGAUCUAUCGCGGCCUAGCUCACCGUCAACCUGUUCGGACUCCGCCCCGGCCAAGCCUUUCUGCUCGUGCCGUUAUGGCGUUGCCGUCAUUCGUCUCCAUGUGGUGGGUGCAGCAACAUCAUCGUUUACUCCAUGGGGCUCAUCGUCGACUUCGUCUUUCGGAGAGUGAUCCUAGAGUUGGAUGAAACUAUGAGAGAAGUCUGUGCAACAAUUGCCAGGAGCUCGAUUGGAUGUCUAAAUUGAGAACCGUUGUCUCCCUCGCGGUUAUCAAAUCGAUUCGAUCGUGGUACGUUAAUUAAUCGUGAUGUGAAGGACCAGAGCCAAGUCGACCUCAAGCGCGGGCUACUCCGCAUGGUGAUGCUGAUGGAUGAACCUACCUGAUCAAGUGCUAGGACAAGGAUGAUCGUCAAGUGAUCGACGUCUAACAACACUAGCGUAGUGUUAUCUAGGCAAGCCCCAGUGCAUUCGCCCCUUCCUUGUGUUUUAAAUGCUUUUUCACUUUAUCUGAUGCAUUAGGUGAUAGGAGUUGUGUGAUAAACAAUUGAUGCAUUACCAUUCCUUGGAAACUCCUUAAUCCCGGUUUUAUAAAAAGAAUUGAUAAUGCUUA